GAAAUAAAACAUGCAAAUGUAUGCUAUGGUGGUGUCAACGGCGAAGCAGCUCUUCACUCUGUGUGCAGCGACUGAACGACUCACUGAAGGGCAAUGACGGUGGAAAUAUAGGAAGUAUGAAGAGUGACAACUAGCCCUGUUCUCCACUGAUCCCUAACAACAAGCCGCAGACCAGUCAGAGGGCACAUGAGAUGAAAACCGCAGCUUCCUAAAGAACCACAGAGGAACUUCUACAUUCUGAGGCCAAAACCUCAACUUUUAUCUGGGGGACAAACAAUGCAAGAAAAUGCCUGCAGUGGAGAAAGUCAACUGGAGAGUGUGUCGGAUUGCUCAACUGAGUCCCCAGACUCAUGUCCACUGUCCUGCAUGGAGCCCUUUGCGGUGCGCAGGCUUUCGUGCAGGACUGUCCAGCUUCCCCCUUUGGCCUUCAGGCAGGCUGAGCAGUAUUAUUGUGAGAGGAGACCAGAGACAGAGACGGUCCAGCCUCGACCCACCAGCCUUCCCCUGAGAGUUCCUCCGCUCAUCGCCAUAACCUCUGCAGACA